UGGGAGAGACCUCGGCCAGACCGGGGCGCCGAAGGAGCAACCGCCCUCGGAAACUCUCAGGCGACUGGACCGUUGGGG
rnacentral:ncRNA from 1 species